rnacentral:rRNA from 1 species
CAGUAGCCGCGGUAAUACAGAGGAUGCAAGCGUUAUCCGGAAUGAUUGGGCGUAAAGGGAGCGCAGGCGGUUAGUAAGUCUGAAGUUAAAGGCAUUGGCUCAACCAAUGUAUGCUUUGGAAACUGUUAGACUUGAGUGCAGAAGGGGAGAGUGGAAUUCCAUGUGUAGCGGUGAAAUGCGUAGAUAUAUGGAGGAACACCGGUGGCGAAAGCGGCUCUCUGGUCCGUCACUGACGCUGAGGCUCGAAAGCGUGGGUAGCGAACAGGAUUAGAUACCCGAGUAGUCCCUGUCUCUUAUACAC